GGUGAGUAACACGUGGGUAACCUGCCCAUAAGACUGGGAUAACUCCGGGAAACCGGGGCUAAUACCGGAUAAUAUUUUGAACUGCAUGGUUCGAAAUUGAAAGGCGGCUUCGGCUGUCACUUAUGGAUGGACCCGCGUCGCAUUAGCUAGUUGGUGAGGUAACGGCUCACCAAGGCAACGAUGCGUAGCCGACCUGAGAGGGUGAUCGGCCACACUGGGACUGAGACACGGCCCAG
rnacentral:rRNA from 1 species